AUCAACUAUUAAGCACAAGUUUUUUUCUUUGGGCAGCAUAUCUCCCUCACCUAGGAAGUCUUUAGAUGGUGGGAUAGUGGACCAUCCAUCUCGAAGUCUUUUCAGCUUCAGAGCUGCAGGUACUCCAUCUGAUAGCUGUCUGCUUCGGAGGCUAUCUGGAUUAUGGGGAAGCCCCUGUUGCAUGUUGGAUUGCUGGGACACAAGGGCAAAAACAAAGCAGCAAGUGGACUAAAAUGUGGAGAAAUGCUACUUCAAUACCACAUAAACAUUUCUAUAACCUUAAAAGUUUUGUUGGAAGAAACUAUGGAUAUUAUCUGUUCAACUUUCUGCUUGAAGAAGGACCAGCACCAGAGCAUGUCAGCUGUGGUUUUGUCACUGAGACUGGAAAAACUCUAGUGACAGAGUUAUCAAUCCUGUAUUUUGUCUGAGAUUAUUAAAGAGAAAAGUAGUUUGAGCGUGUUGUACUUGUUUUCCUUUUUUGGAUAGGCUUUGUCUUCCAUGAUUGAAGCAUCCUCAACAGUUGAAAUCAUAGAAUCAUUAAGGUUGGAAAAGACCUUCAGGAUCAUCUUGUCCAACCUUCUCCAACCAAUAAUAUCAGCCACUUAACCAUGUCCCUAAGCAUCAGGUCCAACAUUUCCUUAAACACCCCCAGGGGUGGUGACUCCACAACCUCCCUGGGCAACCCAUUCCAAUGCCUGACUGCUCUUUCUGAGAAGAAACGCCUCCUCAUUUCCAACCUGAACUUCCCCGGCACAACUUGAGGCCAUUCAAGUUAAGGAAAGAUUCAAUCCAGCAAGAAUGAUCAUCAAAAUAGGGCAGUGGGAAUUUAGACUAAAACUAUUCAUCCCAUAUGCAGCAGAAAACCUCAGGAAGAAUAAAAGUUGUGUCCUGGCCCA
rnacentral:lncRNA from 1 species